rnacentral:ncRNA from 1 species
AUGAUUGCGUUGAAUAGGAAGAGUAGGAUCGGAACCUUUCAGAGAGAGAAAUCAGUUGCUGAGAGAUUUCUUAAGAUGUACGAUUUGAAUGUCGCCUAGGAGCAGCUUUGCUGAAAAUUAAUUUUGUUAUCAAAGUAAGCUUAGCCGGAGACUGGCCGUUAUCAGUUUAAGUGUGCAACAAGGAGCGAGAAGGUCUAUUUCUUUUUGUUGCAAACAAAGGUGGUACCGCGAAAGUAACUCUCUUCGUCCUUUGG